rnacentral:rRNA from 1 species
AGUGAACGCUGGCGGUAGGCCUAACACAUGCAAGUCGAACGGCAGCACAGUAAGAGCUUGCUCUUACGGGUGGCGAGUGGCGGACGGGUGAGGAAUACAUCGGAAUCUACUUUUUCGUGGGGGAUAACGUAGGGAAACUUACGCUAAUACCUCAUACGACCUACGGGUGAAAGCAGGGGAUCUUCGGACCUUGCGCGAUUGAAUGAGCCGAUGUCGGAUUAGCUAGUUGGCGGGGUAACGGCCCACCAAGGCGACGAUCCGUAGCUGGUCUGAGAGGAUGAUCGGCCACACUGGAACUGAGACACGGUCCAGACUCCUACGGGAGGCAGCAGUGGGGAAUAUUGGACAAUGGACGAAAGCCUGAUCCAGCAAUGCCGCGUGGGUGAAGAAGGCCUUCGGGUUGUAAAGCCCUUUUGUUGGGAAAGAAAAACAGCAGGUGAAUACCCCGCUGUUCUGACGGUACCCAAAGAAUAAGCACCGGCUAACUUCGUG